UAGGUAUUCUAAAAGGGAAUGAUCCAGAAGAAAGUAGAAAACUGAUGAUGUCAGAGAAACAACAAUUUACGAAGACAAAGUCUUUGAGACUGUGAAAGGAGAUGGAAUCCACACACAAGGAAGGGGUGACUGGCCAUAAGGGCAAAGACAGUGCAUCCACUGUAUAAGAAAAAGGUGAGCACAUGGACAAAAAUGAAGAAUAGAAAAGAACAGAAAAAUAAAAUGCACUGCAUACAAUAAGAAGAGAAUCACCCCCACCCCAACAAUGAAAGGAGAUGAAAUAAACCAGGAGUUGCAAAGACCAGCGGAGAUAGUUACAUAGCAGCCUGGAAAAGAGAAAAAAAAAAUAAAGAACAAAAAGAGGCGUC
rnacentral:lncRNA from 10 species